UGGACUGGAUAGUUGCAAACA
rnacentral:miRNA from 1 species